AACCUUCAGCUGCCUGCAGCGCGCGGCUGCCCAGGAACAGGUUCAGAACUUCGUGGGAGUAAGAGAUGCAAAGAGACUCAAGCAGAGCAGAGCAAGCAACCUGAUGUCUUGCACGCUCAGCCCGCCUGUCAGAGUCCAGCCUGCCACAUGUGUUUAUGAACAGUGAGGGUGCGAGGACCAGUCCUCAGGUCACAGCGUGGAGUGGCGCCAAAGCCUCCAUCUGGGAUCCAGGACACAGGCACUGAAUUCAGGAUCUGUGACACGCCAGCCGAUCUCCCCUACAACAAGCCGUUCAUGGCUACUGCCCUGAGUGAUGUAAGGCUCUGACCUGCCUUCUGAGUCACGAAGAAUAGAUGUUCACAGCGGUACUCUUUGAAGACUGGUCCAUACGUUACGUGCGGAAGUUCAGUCUGUCAUCACGUCAGCCUCCUUCCACAAUGGAGCAGCACAAAUAUGGAGGCACGAGGGAGAUGUGCCGUGAAGCCCUUCGAAUCCUGGAAUUCGAACACAACAGAGCUCCACGAGAAGAGGAGAGAGGGACGGACGGUUGUUGGCAGGGCCGUCAUCAGGGUCCUGGGUGCAGGAAAAGAGAUGGUAUGCUCCGAAGGAAGGGUUGCAGAGCUCAGCAGAGGAACGAUGCAGUGCACACAGGGUUGAGGGAAACCAAGGAGGGGUGGGGGAGUGUUCAGGGACAGAAACAGCGGGGACAGCUCCCAUCCCCAGCGGGGUGUUGUCGGCUAGCUACAGGAGAUAGACGCCGGCAGGUGUUGUGGUUUUGGGAGAGGCAUUGAGCCACUAUCAAGGUCAAGACGGGCAGGGAGGGCUUCAGGAGGACAAAUAGCCUGACCUUGUUUUCUUCUCACCUUCUGUCUGUCCCUGAGAGCUUCCAUUGACCGAAUCCAACUAGAAACCAGAGGACAAGGAGGCCUGAUUGAUCCAGCCCACAGUCAGCCUGCUGGGGCACAGAGUUGGUUGGAAGAGUGUGGGGAAUGGACUGGAAAGGGCAGGUGGAGAAUAUCUAGUCUAGUUGGAGACAAGCAUCUGUCCCAGGAGCUUUGCUCAAAAUCCAUCACAGUAGGGACACGUGCAACUGGCAUGGACAAAUUUGGGAAUACCAUGGACUCUUCUUGAUAAGAAAAUAACUCCAUUCCUGAGAACAGAAGUGCCUGAGGACAUGAGAGCAUGGCCCAGGGGCUGUGAGCGAUCAGGGUGCCGUGGGCUUUUCUGGUUUACUCAGAAAUGGAGGGCAUCGGUUGAGUCUGCGAGUCUGUAAGGAGGUGGGUAAAAAGAGCUUUCCUAUUUUACCUCCCUUCCUUCCUGGGGUGGCUAAGGAGCAGAAGAGAUGCUGCGGACACAAUUUAGUAUUAUUUACGAAGUACUUCGUCUGCACCAGUUACUGAGAACUGGAUGCUGUGGGGACAAACAGAGGAAGGAGGAGGAACGGCCUCAAGCCUCCUGGAGUUUACAUUCUAGGAGGAGAGAUAAACUACACAGACGGACAGAGUAAUGAGAAGUAGAAAGAAUUAAAAUGCUAAAGCGGGGGAUCCGGAUGACUGGCCAGGAAUUUGACGAAGGAGGCACCACAUCGUAGUCCGUGGUUUCUGCGGGUGCUCCAGGGGCUCCCACCUGGGUGGGACUGGGUUCAAGCCCUGACGCCUGCAUUUGGAGACCAGGGCGUGCGUAAUCAGAACUGGGCAGUGGGACGAAACAGAAUGUAUCAUACUUGGCCUUCCCAUCUCCUCCCUUUUGGGUGGAGUCCUUUGGAUCCCUUUGUCUUCACUGUGUCUGUGGCAGGCUCGUGUUGGGCUUCUCGGGGCCCAGACCGAUGAAGGGUGAAAGGCUAGAGCAGGCAUUUGGGGAUUCUCUGCUCUUUGCCGAUACUGUGUGUGUCCGGGGAGGAGGAGGAAAGCCAUUUGCAACCCCGCGUGAGUGGUGUUCCAUUGCAGGGGUGUGGGGCUGAUAAGAGAUCCGGUGUCCUCCCCAGCCCUGUGCUCUUUAAACACCCAGGGGAAAGGUGGAGUGUUAAACCCAUCCGUUCACCCUCAAGGGUUAGAGCAGGCUUUCACAAAGUGUUUUUUUGUGGGACAUAAGGUCCGAGAAGCAACAAUAAAAGGGUCCUUGGCUGAAUAUAUGUAGGAUACACCAGACUAAACAAAGUUAAAUAGGGUCCCUUGCUGUGAGGUCUCUAAGUCUCUCACGUGAUGCUGUAUUAUGAAAUUCCUACAGCAGGCUAGCUAGGGCCCACAGCGAUUCCCAGUCUUACUGGACCAAAGAACCCCCUUUUUUAAUGAACACCCAAGGUUAUCUGUUGGAACAUCAGCAUUCUGAGGAGUGGUUUCAGAAAUGCUUAAUAUGUGGUGAGUUUGCCUUUUAAAAAGGGAGCCCACGAGAGAGAGAAAACAGUAUUUAGUGCUAUAGGAUUUCUGCUAACAUGUCAG
ensembl:lncRNA